rnacentral:rRNA from 1 species
CGGCGGACGGGUGAGUAAUGCCUAGGAAUCUGCCUGGUAGUGGGGGACAACGUUUCGAAAGGAACGCUAAUACCGCAUACGUCCUACGGGAGAAAGCAGGGGACCUUCGGGCCUUGCGCUAUCAGAUGAGCCUAGGUCGGAUUAGCUAGUUGGUGAGGUAAUGGCUCACAAAGGCGACGAUCCGUAACUGGUCUGAGAGGAUGAUCAGUCACACUGGAACUGAGACACGGUCCAGACUCCUACGGGAGGCAGCAGCG